rnacentral:tRNA from 1 species
GGCUCAGUGGUCCAAUGGUAAAGCGCUCGUCGCAAAACCAGAGGGUCUUGGGUUCGAUUCCCAACAGGGUCA